rnacentral:rRNA from 1 species
UACGUAGGGUGCGAGCGUUAAUCGGAAUUACUGGGCGUAAAGCGUGCGUAGGUGGUUUGUUAAGUCUGAUGUGAAAGCCCUGGGCUCAACCUGGGAAUUGCAUUGGAUACUGGCAGGCUAGAGUGCGGUAGAGGAUGGCGGAAUUCCCGGUGUAGCAGUGAAAUGCGCAGAUAUCAGGAGGAACACCAAUAGCGAAGGCAGCUCGCUGGGACGGUACUGACGCUAAGGCGCGAAAGCGUGGGGAGCGAACAGG